rnacentral:rRNA from 1 species
GAGUUUGAUCCUGGCUCAGAGUGAACGCUGGCGGCAUGGUUAAGACAUGCAAGUCGAACGAGAAGCAAAACUUCGGUUUUGUGGACAGUGGCGAACGGGUGCGUAACACGUGAGCAACCUGCCCCUAAGUACGGAAUAGCCCACCGAAAGGUGGAUUAAUACCGCAUGUGUCCCUUUUUCGCAUGGAGAAGUGGAUAAAGCUUGUAAUGGCGCUUAGGGAUGGGCUCGCGGCCUAUCAGCUUGUUGGUGAGGUAACGGCUCACCAAGGCUAAGACGGGUAGCUGUUCUGAGAGGAUGAUCAGCCACACCGGGACUGAGACACGGCCCGGACACCUACGGGUGGCAGCAGUUUCGAAUCAUUCACAAUGGGCGAAAGCCUGAUGAUGCAAUGCCGCGUGGAGGAUGACGGCCUUAGGGUUGUAAACUCCUGUCAUUAGGGAACAACAAGUAGGUUCAUAGCCUACUCUGAGUUAACCUAAAGAGGAAGAGGUGGCUAACUCCGUGCCAGCAGCCGCGGUAAUACGGAGACCUCGAGCGUUACUCGGAUUUACUGGGCGUAAAGGGUGAGCAGGCGGCUAGGUGUGUUAGGUGUGAAAUCCCGGGGCUUAACCUCGGAACUGCGCCUAAAACUACCUAGCUAGAGUCUCGGAGAGGACAGUGGAAUUCUAGGUGUAGCGGUGAAAU